rnacentral:rRNA from 1 species
CCUACGGGAGGCAGCAGUGAGGAAUAUUGGUCAAUGGCCGUAAGGCUGAACCAGCCAAGUCGCGUGAAGGAAGAAGGAUCUAUGGUUUGUAAACUUCUUUUAUAGGGGAAUAAAGGUAUCCACGUGUGGAUAUUUGCAUGUACCCUAUGAAUAAGCAUCGGCUAACUCCGUGCCAGCAGCCGCGGUAAUACGGAGGAUGCGAGCGUUAUCCGGAUUUAUUGGGUUUAAAGGGUGCGUAGGUUGUUUUUUAAGUCAGCGGUGAAAGUUUGUGGCUCAACCAGAAAAUUGCCGUUGAAACUGGAAGACGUGAGUGUGUUUGAGGUAGGCGGAAUGCGUGGUGUAGCGGUGAAAUGCAUAGAGAUCACGCAGAACUCCGAUUGCGAAGGCAGCUUACUAAGCCAUAACUGACACUGAAGCACGAAAGCGUGGGGAUCAAACAGGAUUAGAUUCCCCUGUAGUC